rnacentral:rRNA from 1 species
ACAACUUUUAGCGGUGGAUGUCUCGGCUCAGGCAACGAUGAAGGACGCCGCAAAAUGCGAUAAGCUUUGUGAAUGGCAGAAUUCCGCGAAUCAAUAGAAUGCUGAACGCAUACUGCACUUUUAGGUUACUCCUGAAAGUAUGUCUAAGUCAGGGCGUU